UACAUAGGGGGCAAGCGUUAUCCGGAAUUAUUGGGUGUAAAGGGUGCGUAGACGGGAAAACAAGUUAGUUGUGAAAUCCCUCGGCUUAACUGAGGAACUGCAACUAAAACUAUUUUUCUUGAGUGCGGGAGAGGAAAGUGGAAUUCCUAGUGUAGCGGUGAAAUGCGUAGAUAUUAGGAGGAACACCAGUGGCGAAGGCGACUUUCUGGACCGUAACUGACGUUGAGGCACGAAAGUGUGGGGAGCAAACAGG
rnacentral:rRNA from 1 species